rnacentral:rRNA from 1 species
UACGUAGGGACCAAGCGUUGUCCGGAAUCAUUGGGCGUAAAGCGCGCGUCGGUGGCCAUUUAAGUCCGCUGUGAAAGUCAAAGGCUCAACCUUUGAAAGCCGGUGGAUACUGGAUGGCUAGAGUACGGAAGAGGCGAGUGGAAUUCCUGGUGUAGCGGUGGAAUGCGCAGAUAUCAGGAGGAACACCAAUAGCGAAGGCAGCUCGCUGGGACGUUACUGACACUGAGGCGCGAAAGCGUGGGGAGCGAACAGG